rnacentral:lncRNA from 1 species
GCACGGCCGGCCGCCGGCAGCAGGGCCGGGCCUCGCCCUGCCUGCAGUGCCGGCACGACCCCUACCGCCUUCUCCGCUACGACCUGCACGGGCCCUUCCAGAAGGUUCCGGCGCUGAUGGUGAAGAAGUUCUCGGUGGUGCAGGGCAUGGUCCUGAUGUUCGCGGGGGGCAGGCUGCUGUUCGGGGGCUGCGUCCUCAACGGCUACGGCUUCAGCAAGCAGAACCUGCUGAAACAGAUCUCCCGGGCCCGGCAGGACUGCGAGAAUGGCUACUUCCUGCCCGAGGACUACAAGUUCAACGCGCCCAGCCCGGUCUCCAUGGUGGAGGACGGCGUGGGCCCCACCGGCUCCGAGGACACCCAGGCCAGCUACUCGUCCUUGGCGCUGGGGGACAAGGCCGAGAGGGAGGCCGCCGUUGAGGCCGCGGCCUCCAUGGAGAAAAAGUAGGUGGCCCCUCCCCCGGGGGGUCGGGGGUGACAACCCGCAAAGGGAGGUGGGGGGC